AAUAAAUUAAUUUGGGAACUUGCAUGCUGUUUUACAUUUUUGAGUCAGUUGAUUUCACCUACCAAUCAUAUGAAAGGAACGCAACUCUAACUAACGCAGAGCUUAAAGUUCUCGGGCCUGGUGCCAGAUUUCUGGGGUAUGACUAUUUUAGAAAAAAUAAAGGAAAAAGUCCAAAUGGGAUUUGUUUUUGAUGCGCUGGGUUUAACCAAUCAUCAAACUUCCACCUACCAAUGAAACCAUUUCUAGCCAAUCAGAUGCAAAGUAGGGCAGGUCCUUGCCAAAAAGCGAGAGUGCGGUGUGUGGUCUCCGUGGUAACGCGGCUCUAAAAAUGUAGAUGCAGCUUUAGUUGGGAACUGAGUCAAAAACAAAUGGCACCGGGCAUGAAUAGAGAACAAGAGGAAAAGGGUGGAGACGGGAAGCCGUUUAGCACUUGGUGCCUCAAACUGAGCACCCGGCUGCAGCGGAUACAGUCUAUGGAGCCA